AGUUACUCAAGCCGGACGUAACCGAAACUUGGCUCUGCUGUGGAAGAGUUUGUUCGUUUGGCUCGAGUUAUGC
rnacentral:pre_miRNA from 1 species